UGCAGUCGAACGAAGUAGCAAUACUUAGUGGCGAACGGGUGAGUAUAAUGUGGGUAUCUGCCCUUUGGUUUGGAAUAACACGAGGAAACUUGUGCUAAUACCGGAUAAGCCUUCACAGGGAAAGCUUUAGCGCCAAAGGAUAAGCCUGCACUUGAUUAGCUAGUUGGUAAGGUAAUGGCUUACCAAGGCAACGAUCAAUAGCUGUUCUUAGAGGAAGACCAGCCACAUUGGGACUGAGACACGGCCCAAACUCCUACGGGAGGCAGCAGUGGGGAAUCUUGCACAAUGGGGGAAACCCUGAUGCAGCGAUGCCGCGUGAGUGAAGAAGGCCCUUGGGUUGUAAAGCCCUUUCGUCGGGGAAGAAAAUGACUGUACCCGAAUAAGAAGGUCCGGCUAACUUCGUGCCAGCAGCCGCGGUAAUACGAAGGGACCUAGCGUAGUUCGGAAUUACUGGGCUUAAAGAGCACGUAGGUGGUUAAGAAAGUUGGUGGUGAAAUCCCAAGGCUUAACCUUGGAACUGCCACCAAAACUUUUUAACUAGAGUAUGAUUGAGGUAAGCGGAAUUUCUAGUGUAGAGGUGAAAUUCGUAGAUAUUAGAAAGAACACCAAUUGCGAAGGCAGCUUUCUGGAUCAUUACUGACACUGAGGUGCGAAAGCAUGGGUAGCGAAGAGGAUUA
rnacentral:rRNA from 1 species